rnacentral:rRNA from 1 species
GAUGAACGCAGGCGGCGUGCUUAACACAUGCUAGUCGAACGGAAAGGCCCAAGCUUGCUUGGGUACUCGAGUGGCGAACGGGUGAGUAACACGUGGGUGAUCUGCCCUGCACUUCGGGAUAAGCCUGGGAAACUGGGUCUAAUACCGGAUAGGACCACAUUUUGGAUGGUGUGGUGGAAAGUUUUUCGGUGUGGGAUGAGCUCGCGGCCUAUCAGCUUGUUGGUGGGGUAAUGGCCUACCAAGGCGUCGACGGGUAGCCGGCCUGAGAGGGUGUACGGCCACAUUGGGACUGAGAUACGGCCCAGACUCCUACGGGAGGCAGCAGUGGGGAAUAUUGCACAAUGGGCGCAAGCCUGAUGCAGCGACGCCGCGUGGGGGAUGACGGCCUUCGGGUUGUAAACUCCUUUCGCUAGGGACGAAGCGUUAUGUGACGGUACCUGGAGAAGAAGCACCGGCUAACUACGUG